GUUUAUGUCAGCUGUGGCAGUCUCCCUUCCUAGCCAUGGAAGAGCAUAUUCUUAUUUAUUGGCAAAGCUGUCACCAUUUAUCAUCAGUAUCAGAUUCUGACUUGCACAAGUAACAUUA
rnacentral:snoRNA from 1 species